GUGGGGAAUAUUGGACAAUGGGCGCAAGCCUGAUCCAGCCAUGCCGCGUGAGUGAUGAAGGCCCUAGGGUUGUAAAGCUCUUUCACCGGUGAAGAUAAUGACGGUAACCGGAGAAGAAGCCCCGGCUAACUUCGUGCCAGCAGCCGCGGUAAUACGAAGGGGGCUAGCGUUGUUCGGAAUUACUGGGCGUAAAGCACACGUAGGCGGAUAUUUAAGUUAGGGGUGAAAUCCCAGGGCUCAACCCUGGAACUGCCUCUAAUACUGGGUAUCUCGAGUCCGAGAGAGGUGAGUGGAAUUCCGAGUGUAGAGGUGAAAUUCGUAGAUAUUCGGAAGAACACCAGUGGCGAAGGCGACUCACUGGCCCGUUACUGACGCUGAGGCGCGAAAGCGUGGGGAGCAAACAGGAUUAGAUACCCUGGUAGUCC
rnacentral:rRNA from 1 species